UGGCGGCGUGCCUAAUACAUGCAAGUCGAACGGGGUGUAGCAAUACACUUAGUGGCGACCGGGUGCGUAACACGUAGCUGACCUGCCCUUCAGCGGGGGAUAACGAGCCGAAAGGUUCGCUAAUACCGCAUGGACUCUGAGCGAUUAGAAGGCUUAGAGGAAACUUCCGGGGCUGAAGGAGGGGGCUGCGGCCCAUCAGGUAGUUGGUGAGGUAGAAGCUCACCAAGCCGAUGACGGGUAGGGGGCCUGAGAGGGUGGUCCCCCACACUGGGACUGACACACGGCCCAGACUCCUACGGGAGGCAGCAGUAAGGGAUAUUGGUCAAUGGGCGCAAGCCUGAACCAGCAACGCCGCGUGCAGGAUGACGGCCUUCGGGUUGUAAACUGCUUUUCUCAGGGACGAGCGAGGACGGUACCUGAGGAAUAAGUCACGGCUAACUACGUGCCAGCAGCCGCGGUAACACGUAGGUGGCGAGCGUUAUCCGGAUUUACUGGGCGUAAAGCGUGUGCAGACUGGGUAGCAAGUGGUGUAUGAAAGGGUGAGGCUCAACCUCACGAGGGUAUGCCAGACUGCUGCUCUAGAGUGCGAGAGAGGGAUGUGGAAUUCCGGGUGUAGUGGUGAAAUGCGUAGAGAUCCGGAGGAACCCCAGAGGCGCAAGCGGCGUCCUGGCUCGCAACUGACGUUCAGACACGACAGCAUGGGGAGCGAACGGGAUUAGAAACCCCGGUAGUCCAUGCCGUAAACGAUGCCAACUAGGCGCUGGUGGUGAUAAGCCAUCGGUGCCGCAGCUAACGCGAUAAGUUGGCCGCCUGGGGACUACGGCCGCAAGGCUAAAACUCAAAGGAAUUGACGGGGGCCCGCACAAGCAGCGGAGCGUGUGGUUUAAUUCGAGGCUACACGAAGAACCUUACCUAGACUUGACAUGGGCGUGAACGAGGGUGAAAGCCUGAGGUUCGCAAGACACGCUCACAGGUGCUGCAUGGCUGUCGUCAGCUCGUGUCGUGAGAUGUUAGGUUAAGUCCUGUAACGAGCGCAACCCCUGGUGGUAGUUACAAGGUGUCUACCGCGACUGCCUGCGUAAGUGGGAGGAAGGUGGGGAUGACGUCAAGUCAGCAUGGCCUUUAUGUCUAGGGCUACACACACGCUACAAUGGUCGGUACAACAGGAAGCCAAGCGGCAACGCGGAGCAAAUCCUCUCAAAGCCGAUCUCAGUUCAGAUUGUGGGUUGCAACCCGCCCACAUGAAGUCGGAGUUGCUAGUAACCGCGCGUCAGCCAUAGUGCGGUGAAUACGUUCCCGGGCCUUGUACACACCGCCCGUCACGUCAUGGGAGCUGGUCACGCCUGAAGCCGGUGGGCAAACCGCAAGGAUGCAGCCGUCUAGGGCAGGGCCGGUGACUGG
rnacentral:rRNA from 1 species